AGAAUCUGUUAUGGACUGAGAUUGAAUUCUGGAUGCAGUCCAUAACUUUGAGUUCAUAGUCUCCUUUGAUUGAAAAUUGCAGCAUGUAAUCAUAUCAAGGUAAUACAAUGUCCAAGAUUUAGUGGCGAUAUACUGUACUUAACAACGAUAUGUCAUUUAUCUAGCAACCAGUGAAAGCGAUUUUGUCAUAUCUUAUUAAAAUUACUGGACAACACUUCAGGUAAAGAAAUUAUUUUUUUACUAUGUUAUAUCUAGAGAGAACAUCCAACAAUUGGAAGUGACAUUCCUUUAAUAUAUUGUAUUAGAAAACAUGUGAUCUUCAUGCAGUUACAGAACAUACUGUAGUGUUCCUUGACCCUCACAAGUUAUUUGUUGUUGUUGUUAUCAGUGAUGACAGAUAUGGAGAAUGUUGCUUGAAAACAGCUGUGAGUGUUCUGGGGACAAUCUGUAAAGACACUGCUAAUUCAGACCACUGUGAGCUUCCACUGGACUGCCUGCAUCUGGUCAGUCUGAUUGCAGAAACUGCCGGAAGCUCCCAUCCACAGUCAGAGAAAAGUAAGGAAAACAAAGUUCUGGAGGAGACACUUCGAACAAUGAGGGACUGGCGACGAAAAGCAUUCCCAGACAAACUAGUUAACCAUGGGUCCUAUUAUACCUCAAAGAUUGAGCUUGAAAUGAAGGUAGGAAUGUUAGGCUUAAAGUCCAAGCAAUGAGAACUGUGUCGUUUUAAAUCCUUAUCAGAAGAAUCAGUCAAAAUAAUUGUACAUUAGCAUAGCAUUUUGAUGUGUACAGUGAUUGUUUCACAGAUAUUAUUUUUUCUAGGUCUGGAAAAGGUUGAUCUCAGUCACUUUUGGGAAUGAAGAAUUCACUGAACUAUGGAGAAGUACUUUCUUGAAUGAUUUUGAAGGAAAACUAAAAAAGGUAUUUAUUAUGCUUUAAAUCAAUUGUAAAACAUAUUUAAAUUCACUGUAAAACAUAUAAUACAUUUAAAGGGGCAAUCUGGAAUUGG
rnacentral:lncRNA from 1 species